rnacentral:rRNA from 1 species
UACGGGGGGGGCAAGCGUUGUUCGGAAUUACUGGGCGUAAAGGGCUUGUAGGUGGCCAACUAAGUCAGACGUGAAAUCCCUCGGCUUAACCGGGGAACUGCGUCUGAUACUGGAUGGCUGGAGUGUGGGAGAGGGAUGCGGAAUUCCAGGUGUAGCGGUGAAAUGCGUAGAUAUCAGGAGGAACACCUGUGGUGUAGACGGCUUACUGGACCGCAACUGACGCUGAGACACGAAAGCGUGGGUAGCAAACAGG